rnacentral:rRNA from 1 species
UACGAAGGGGGCUAGCGUUGUUCGGAAUUACUGGGCGUAAAGGGCGCGUAGGCGGCUGUGCAAGUCAGGUGUGAAAGCCCUGGGCUCAACCCAGGAUGUGCACUUGAUACUGCGCAGCUAGAGUGUCGGAGAGGAUGGUGGAAUUCCCAGUGUAGAGGUGAAAUUCGUAGAUAUUGGGAAGAACACCGGUGGCGAAGGCGACCAUCUGGACGGCAACUGACGCUGAGGCGCGAAAGCGUGGGGAGCAAACAGG